rnacentral:rRNA from 1 species
UACAGAGGUCUCAAGCGUUGUUCGGAUUCAUUGGGCGUAAAGGGUGCGUAGGUGGCGCGCUAAGUCAGGUGUGAAAUUUCGGAGCCUAACUCCGAAACUGCAUUUGAUACUGGCGUGCUUGAGGACUGGAGAGGAGACUGGAAUUCAUGGUGUAGCAGUGAAAUGCGUAGAGAUCAUGAGGAAGACCAGUGGCGAAGGCGGGUCUCUGGACAGUUCCUGACACUGAGGCACGAAGGCCAGGGGAGCAAACGGG